CUCUAUUCUCCAUUGAAGCGCAUUCUGAGUUUUCUCACCUCCAUUGAAGCAGCUUCGAGGUAAGAUUUGGGCCAUUGUGGUCUUCUUAAUCUACCGAAUUUCUUCGCAACCUAGGGUUUGUCAUUGAUUUGGUUUUCAAUUUUGUAAUUUUAGGGUUCUGGUUUUAUUUCUAUUUUUUGUCAAACAAAAUAAGUAGGAGAAGGAAGAGAGUAGGUCCUACCCGCCGCCACUCACCCUUCGCCGGCCACCCUCCGUUCCCCUCACCCGUCCUUCGUGCGUCGGCUACCGACCACCAGUUUUCUGGCAAUGUUUAGUUGACUAAGACGGACGGACAUUGAUGCAGGUAGAUGAAUGGUGAUUUUUGUGUGUGUGUGUGUAUGUGUGUGUUGGGGGGGGGGGUUAGACCUUGUUUUGAUCAUUUUCUGCGCAAAAAUUGUAGAGCAGUUCAUAAAAUGAACCAUUAGGUGGUUUCUAAAUAUGCUUCACAAUUUAGAAUUUUGAAAAUUUUGUAGCUUAAGCCUUUAACACUUCACAAACAAAAUGCCUAAAGCCUUUAUCACUCACUCUGUCAGACCUCAAGUCUUAAUAAAUCUCAAUAUAUAACACAUUGUUCUUCAAAUUUUAAUGCCUUUUUUUUUCCUCAAAUUAACCCUGAUAUAAGAUAUUUGUAAGCUAAAAAUGUGUAUUGAUCAAGUUUAUCUGCUUAGUAUGAUGAUUUGAAGGUGUUGAGGCCUCUUUUUAUUCCUCAAAAAAUGUUCUAGGUUAUAAUUAUUUUAAUUUGUUUACGCUAAUAAGUCUAGAAAAGGGCUGGUAAGUUCAAUUAUAACUAAAAGUAAGUUUAUGUUAGGGCCAAUAAGUUGGUUAGUUUACAUCAGAUAUGAUUGGAGUUUCUAGGUGAAAAAUACACAGCCUGAAAAUUCUAUCAGUUUUUGUUGAUAUAUGAAGAAAUGGCUCAUGUUAUAAAUUGAUAAACUUGUGCGUGAGAGGAAAUUAGUUGGUGAUUUAGACUCGUCUCUUGAGAAAAAUAGAGAACACAUGAGAACUUGUUGACCUCAUUUAUUCAACAGUAAGUAUGAUAUGCCUUCUAUGUAUGUGGGUGAGAAUCGGGUAGUAUAUUAAUGGUUUUCAUCAUCUGUAUAUAAUAGAUGCGAAUGUGGCUGGACUACAUUGACGGAGACUGUACAGUUUACUUUGUCAGAUCUAUCAUUUUAUAAUCUAUGAAGAUUGAUUUACUGCUGAUUUUCUGAAUUUAAUUGUGAUUUUACUGUUGCUAUGCUUGUCAAGAGACAUGGUGAUGGAUUGCUACCUAUUGAUGACUACAACAUUGAGCUUAAGGAUCAAAGAGGGCAGAAGCUUAAUAUGGGUUCUGACAGAUCAAAGGGAAAUAAUGAUGGGUCUUUGCUGCAUACAAAGGGAAACAGCUAAUGAGGGCAUUAGGGGGGGUUGUUAAGCAAGGAGACAUGUAAAAGCCGGUGCACUACUUUUCUGAUUUAAGUUUGCAUGCAAGCUUUUAAGCUUUAUAUUGUGGAAUGUAUGGAGUGCUAUCCAUGCAUAAUUCCAAGGCUAUCCUGGUCAUAUUCAGGACCACGAAACUCAGAAGAUGUUACCCUCAGUUUUGAACAAUAAGGAUUAUAUAUCAUCGAUGUAAAAAGUAAAUAUACUAACUGUCUAGUUGAUUAAGCUAUCAUUGGUGUAGGAUAUCCUGUUUAGAAGGAAACAGAAUGCUAAUGAGACACUCAUGCUUGUCCCUCAAAUGAAAUGUAUUGUUGGCUCUGCAGCUUAGAUUGCCCAUGAUCCGCUCACUAAUCUUAGCUCUUAAGACUGCAAGAAUAUGAGGUAAGAAAGGGUGCACAAACUUGCAUUUGUCCAUUUGAAAUGCAUGUACUUGCUGUAUGGGAAUUGCACAUGAUUACUAGGGUUCUACAUUGCUAAUUAGCAAGAGUGUGUUCCCCAAGUCUGUCAGCCUCCUGUUGAUAGAACCCACUGUAUGGCAAGUUAAGUAUCAUUUUUUACCUUUAUAAAUUCUAAUGUCUUUAUAAAAUUAUUUGAGUGAAUCAACAGAGGACUAGCAUAGCCUAUUCUCUAAAUCUUAUCUCAUAUAAUUUCAUAUUUCCUCCAUUCCUCAAUUGAUGCAUCUCUUUCCUUUUUGGGAUGUUUUACAAUAGAUGCAUCCCUUUUCCUUUUAGUAAAAAAUUAUUUGCAAAAUUUUUGCCCUGAACUUAAGUGAGGACCAACUCCAUUUUUACUUUACAUGCUAUGGCUAAAGGUUAACACAUAAGCAAUUAUGUUAAUUUCCCUACUCUGUCUCUCCUUUCUAUUGGUUUGUGUGCCAACUCUCAAGGAUGCAUCAAUUGAGAAACUAAGGAAGUAGUUUAUUAUCUUUCUGGCAAAAAGGGGAUGGCUACCCUAAAGUCCCAAACACGACUAGGCUAUUAUAGGGCUUAUAAACUUUGGUAUAGCCUUGAUUAUCAAUAUAUCAUGUUAGAGACUAGAAAGGUGAUGCAGGGCACAAUUUUAUGUUUCAUUUUUUGUUUGGCUUGUAUCUGUACACCAUUCUGCUAAUGUUCGCUGAGUUGUCCUUUAAUUUUAGCAUUACCAUUGUUUGCUCCCCAUUUGACUGUUACUCUUUGUUGUAGUCUUAUCUUGUAUUUUGACUGUCUGAUUCACAAGACUGAUGUAUGUGUAGUGCAAAGCAUUUGCUGGCAGAGACAAAACUGGAACAUGAUGAAGCUUUACUAUCCCAAGAGGCUGAUGCUGAUUAUGUCAUAGAAGUUUCAGGUGCGAUCAACAGUAAUGCAGCAUUUUAUAGGUUAGUUUCAUGACUUUUGUCAUUCUGUGUUUCAACUGAUUGCCCAACUAGCUGAAGCAAAAGUUAAUG